UCAACGCUUAGUUCGACCCAGACAUCAUGACUCAACAUUUGUUUAGAAUAUUCCUCCCUGCAACUCUCCUAGGCCUGUGUCUGCUUAAUCAGAGUAUACAUACAGAUGGUCAAAAUACAACUUCAGGUGUUACCACAAGUGAUGUUACCAGUGUUUCUACUGAAACCACAUCAUCUGUGUCUCAAACCUCGAAUGUGACACCUGGGAGCAGUGAUACUGAAGUCUCUACAGUUACUCAAACUACAGGAGCAAC